rnacentral:rRNA from 1 species
UAAGUCCCGCAACGAGCGCAACCCUUGUCCUUAGUUACCAGCAUUAAGUUGGGCACUCUAAGGAGACUGCCGGUGACAAACCGGAGGAAGUGGGGACGACGUCAAGUCAUCAUGGCCCUUACGUGUAGGGCUACGCACGUGCUACAAUGGCAUUUACAGAGGGAAGCGAGACAGUGAUGUGGAGCGGAACCCCUUAAAGAAUGUCGUAGUCCGGAUUGGAGUCUGCAACUCGACUCCAUGAAGUCGGAAUCGCUAGUAAUCGUGGAUCAGAAUGCCACGGUGAAUACGUUCCCGGGCCUU